rnacentral:rRNA from 1 species
CGGACGGGUGAGUAAUGUCUGGGAAACUGCCUGAUGGAGGGGGGUAACUACUGGAAACGGUAGCUAAUACCGCAUAACGUCGCAAGACCAAAGAGGGGGACCUUAGGGCCUCUUGCCAUCGGAUGUGCCCAGAUGGGAUUAGCUAGUAGGUGGGGUAACGGCUCACCUAGGCGACGAUCCCCAGCUGGUCUGAGAGGAUGACCAGCCACACUGGAACUGAGACACGGUCCAG